AGAGCGAACGCUGGCGGCAGGCCUAACACAUGCAAGUCGAGCGCCCCGCAAGGUGAGCGGCAGACGGGAGAGUAACACGUGGGAACGUACCCUUUGGUUCGGAACAACACAGGGAAACUUGUGCUAAUACCGGAUAAGCCCUUACGGGGAAAGAUUUAUCGCCAAAGGAUCGGCCCGCGUCUGAUUAGCUUGUUGGUGAGGUAACGGCUCACCAAGGCUACGAUCAGUAGCUGGUCUGAGAGGAUGAUCAGCCUCACUGGGACUGAGACACGGCCCAGACUCCUACGGGAGGCAGCAGUGGGGAAUAUUGGACAAUGGGCGCAAGCCUGAUCCAGCCAUGCCGCGUGGAUGAUGAAGGCCCUAGGGUUGUAAAGUCCUUUCGACGGGGAAGAUAAUGACGGUACCCGUAGAAGAAGCCCGGCUAACUUCGUGCCAGCAGCCGC
rnacentral:rRNA from 1 species